rnacentral:lncRNA from 1 species
AAAAACCCAGUUUGAAGCACAAUUUUGCAACAAGCUAGGAAACAAAAUUCCUUCUUGACCCCAGAAUGGCAGCCAGAUUUAUCCUUGGAUCAAGCAGUUAUUACCCUACAUUGAAAGAUUAUAUCCUUGAAUAUUCUGUUUUUGCAAGUAUGCAUCUAGUAGCCGUUUGAACAUCUGUAUGGACUCUGAUAAAACCACUUCCUCAGGCAGAGAAUUCCAC